GACAGAGGCCCCAAGCGUUAGGCGGAAUCACUGGGCUUAAAGCGUGUGUAGGCGGAUCGUUAAGUGUCUUGUGAAAUCCCACGGCUCACCCGUGGAACUGCUGGGCAUACUGGCGAUCUUGGGCCAACUAGGGGCAGCCGGAACAAGCGGUGGAGCGGUGAAAUGCGUAGAUAUCGCUUGGAACGCCGACGGUGAAAACAGGUUGCUGGGAAUGUGCCGACGCUGAGACACGAAAGCCAGGGGAGCAAACGGG
rnacentral:rRNA from 1 species